rnacentral:rRNA from 1 species
UGGGGAAUCUUGGACAAUGGGGGCAACCCUGAUCCAGCGAUGCCGCGUGUGUGAAGAAGGCCUUCGGGUUGUAAAGCACUUUAGGUGGGGAAGAAAGGCAGUUGUUGAAUACGCAACUGCUAUGACGGUACCCGCAGAAUAAGCACCGGCUAACUCUGUGCCAGCAGCCGCGGUAAUACAGAGGGUGCAAGCGUUAAUCAGAAUGACUGGGCGUAAAGGGCGUGUAGGUGGUUAAUUAGGUUUGAUGUGAAAUCCCCGGGCUUAACCUGGGAAUUGCGUCGAAAACGGAUUGACUCGAGUGAGAUAGAGGGUUGUGGAAUUUCCGGUGUAGCGGUGAAAUGCGUAGAUAUCGGAAAGAACAUCAGUGGCGAAGGCGACAACCUGGAUCUUAACUGACACUGAGGCGCGAAGGCGUGGGGAGCAAACA